UAGGGAAUUUUCGUCAAUGGGCGCAAGCCUGAACGAGCGAUGCCGCGUGAGUGAAGAAGGCCUUCGGGUCGUAAAGCUCUGUUGCGGGGGAAAAAAGGGCAGCAUCAGGAAAUGGGUGCUGACUGAUGGUGCCCCGCCAGAAAGUCACGGCUAACUACGUGCC
rnacentral:rRNA from 1 species